rnacentral:rRNA from 1 species
AACGAACGCUGGCGGCAUGCCUAACACAUGCAAGUCGAACGAGACCUUCGGGUCUAGUGGCGCACGGGUGCGUAACGCGUGGGAACCUGCCCUUGGGUUCGGAAUAACUCCCCGAAAGGGGUGCUAAUACCGGAUAAUGUCUUCGGACCAAAGAUUUAUCGCCUUUGGAUGGGCCCGCGUUGGAUUAGCUAGUUGGUAGGGUAAAAGCCUACCAAGGCGACGAUCCAUAGCUGGUCUGAGAGGAUGAUCAGCCACACUGGGACUGAGACACGGCCCAGACUCCUACGGGAGGCAGCAGUGGGGAAUAUUGGACAAUGGGCGAAAGCCUGAUCCAGCAAUGCCGCGUGAGUGAUGAAGGCCUUAGGGCUGUAAAGCUCUUUUACCCGGGAUGAUAAUGACAGUACCGGGAGAAUAAGCUCCGGCUAACUCCGUG